rfam:Cyanobium sp. PCC 7001 scf_1106012173546 genomic scaffold, whole genome shotgun sequence.
UCCUCGGUAGCUCAGCGGUAGAGCGGUCGGCUGUUAACCGAUUGGUCGCAGGUUCGAAUCCCGCCCGGGGAG